rnacentral:tRNA from 1 species
GGCUUUAUAUUCAUAAAAUGAUAAUAGAAUGCAAUUCUAUAGGAAUAGUAAAACUAUUAAGGCUU